rnacentral:rRNA from 1 species
CCCUAGUAUAAGUUAAUAGUUAUUAUUAGUAUAUGGUUGAAAAUAAAUAUUUCUGGCGGUUAAUUAUUAAUUAGAGGAGCUUGUUGAAUUAAUUGAGAAUUAACUCUUUAUAUUUUAUUUAUAAAAGUUUAUUCAUCUCCGUUAUAAAAUAGUUAUUGAGAAAAUUAAUUUUUUAAUUUCAGGUCAAGAUGUAGCAUUUAUUAUUCAGGAUUAGCUACAAUUGUGUAGCAUUGGAUUUUUGUAAAUUGAAAGAUUGAAAGGAAAAUGAAUUUAAUUGUAACUAUAGCUAGGAGGUUAUAGUGAAUUGAUAUAAUUAAUGUA